CCCCACUGGCCCCGGGCAGUGAGGAGCUUAGCACCUGGGCCAACAGCUGCUGCGCUCAAUCUGGCCCCGGGCAGUGAGGAACUUAGCACCUGGGCCAACAGCUGCUGUGCUCAAUUUCUCGCCGGGCCUUAGCUGCCUUCCCACGGGGCAGGGCUCGGGACCUGCAGCCCGCCAUGCCGAAGCCUCCCCCCCACCCUCCAUGGGCUCCUGUGCGGCCGGAGCCCAUGUGAAGAGCACUCAGUAUGAUGACCGGAGACACAGCUGUUGGAGGGAAAAAGUUUAUGUCAAUUAAAAUCCUGAAUUUCUCUGAUCUGGAAAGAAAAACUGCUAUGAACUCUUUAGAUGCCAACACAAGUGCUGAAGAGGAUGCUACAUGACAGAAAGAUGGAUUCGUAUGUGGAAAAGCCUUCUAAGGAUAAAGUCUACCAUAUACUUACUUUUGGAGGUAACAAGGGUUGGUGAGAUCUCAGUAGCGUCCUUCUCACCAGGUCAGUCUCUUAAACUUCAAGUGGAAAACAGAUGAGAUGAGGUGACUGUGCUGACUUUGAAAUAUGUGACCUAAUCCCAAUGUUAUUUUGUUGUUGCUGUUAUGUUUGUUUCAAAAAUAAUUACAAGGUAAUUGACCUCCAAUUUCUGUUACCCACAGAACCUCAGCUCUCACCUUACCCCCAGCUUUAAUGAGGCUUCUUGUUGGUCAAUUCCAAUAAGAACUCUCUAAGUCACCUGGGCUGCUCUGAGAUCCACCUUACAGUGACUCAGGAAUGUAGUCAAUACGAUGGUAGAAAGUGGCCCUGGCAAGGAAAGACUUUAAAACACAUAGAACAAAUUAGCCCAGAGGCUCUGCCGGCACUGCUACCCACAAGUGGCAAUGUGGUUACCUUUAGGAACCCCACAUUUGGUUCCAACUUCUUUCCCUUUGUAAGGGAUUAAUCAAGACAUGGCUUCCAGCACUUUCAUUGGUAUUAACAUCUGAAGUUGGGAAGUCAGGUUGGAGGACCUUACUGCCAUUAGAAAUGGGCUCCAGCCUUCUAGGAAUGCCUCUGUCUUUCGCCUACCUAAAGGAUCAGCAUUGGAGGAAACUUUCUUAAUUUGUAAUCACUCUCAGUGUAUUUAAACUCCCCAGGUAUAAACCCUAGCUUUACCAUUUGCUUGACUGUGGCCAAGUUAAUUAACCUCUUUGAGCUUCAUUUUCUUAAACAUGAGCUAUAUGGAGUCAUUAGAGUUCACUGAGUUUACCUAUGUGAGAUUCUGAACAUUAGUGCCUGGUACAUAAAUGCUCAGUUAAGUUGGCUAUCAAUAUUGAUAUCAUGGCUACUAAAAUAUUAUAAAGCCCUUUAAGCUUUUCUAAUCCGUGUGUUCACUGCCAGUAACCUCAUCCUGAACAAGUGCAAAUCUAAAUUGAUGGUGAUACUCAUCUCUUUCCCACCCAUUCCCAAUUCUAACUUCUGACUUCUGCUACCCUGACUACUCUUCCCACAACAUUUUCACCUGUCUCCUUACGUCUGUUACAUAACACCCAGCUCCAGCUUCACAAUCUGAACAUAAGUUGGUCUCAUGGGUCCACUCAUCCUCAGCCACCUUGGAUAAUAUCUCUCCUUUAUGCUACCCAGGGUUUCUUAGCUUUUCUAUUCCAGGAUCUCCUUUGACAGUGUGGCAAAGCCUAUGAAGCCAUUCUGAGAAUAUUUUAAAUGUAUAAAAAAAAAUCCAGGAAUUUUAAAGGAAAUAAAUUCUAUUGGAUUACUGUUAUGUAUAUUAAAAUAAAGGUAUGACAUAGUACUAUGUGUGUUUCUUUAACACAUUACAUUUUUAAAAAUCUAACAGUGAUUUAAUAAAUAUAAUUUUGAAGUUGUGAUGAAUGUAAAUAAUAUUUUGAGAUCUCUACAACAACUGUAACAGAAUAUAAAAUAUGUGAUAGCUAUUGAUUUUACAAGUACUGCAAAUGCAAUUCUGGUUUGUUGCGUACAUUCCAAAUUAAAGGGCAUGCUGAAUUUCAGUUGGAGGCUAGUGAAAACAAAGAUGGAAUUUUUUUUCAUCCGUGGUUACAAAUGACUGAAUUCCAGCCACAGAUUUCUUGGGAGACUCAUGGACCCAACAUUAACAUCUCCUGGUCUAGCCCAGCACCUGCCAGAGGCUCCUGCAGUGGCAUGUCUGAUAAACUCAUUCUAGAUGUCUGCAUGAACAGUCUGUCCCUGUGCCUGGGGGUUCCUCUCUUUGGGGUUAUUGUAACAUCUCUUCACUAUGGAUAGAAGUUUCCAUGUCUCAAAGCUCAGAUCAACCCCCGCUUCCUUGGGAAGCCUUACCAGACCACGGUUUCUACCAAGUUCUCUCACCUCCAAUGCCUCUGCCCUACCUUAGAAGAUUGCUAGUGGAGUCACAUGUGUGUGAGAUUUAUUGCUGUAUUAGUGACUGCUCAAGUGUUUGCCUUGCCUCACUGGUACAUUUGAGAAAUCUAAACAGUAGACGUCAAUUGAGUUUUCUUUAUCAUUUAAGCAAAAUCACUUUGCAUUUUACCAAGCUUAUGUGAUCUCAUUUGAUUCUAGUAACAAGACUUGGGGUAGGUAGAGCAGUACUAUUAUCUUUCUCUUACAUAUGGGGAAAAGACAAGUGACUUUCAAAAGGAAGGAGCUAGUAAUGGACAAUAUGGGAAUGGAAUUCCCUUCUGUGCUUCUGACUUUGCAUUUGCAUCCCCUCCAACAGCACAGACUUGGGCAAUAAUGGGGGGUUAGUGAAUGUCUGUGGUUGAUUCUUUUAAGUCUUCUCUUCAUCGUGAACCUCGUGAAUUGCAGUUGAAGAGAUCAGUGUAUGUGGGAAGAGGAGAAGUUGUUCAAGAAAUCACUAAUCUCAAAUAGGAGUCUUCAAAAUAAAUUAAUCUUCGGAGUUCUUCUCUCAUUGUCCAUGCAACUGUAGUUCUGAAAAUGUUGCAGAGCUGAGUCUGGGUGUCCAGUUAAGGACUGCCAAAAAUAAAAAGGCAAAGCAUGCUACCACUGACAAAGAAUCUGAGAACUGCUUCAUACAGUAUUCUCAUGUUACAGAGGAAGAAACAGAACCCAAGCAAAAGCAACGUAAAUUAACAAGUACACCGUGGUCAGUGGCAGAGCAGGAUGGGACCCAAGUCUUCAGAGACCCAAUGGAAUUUUCAGUUUGCUUAUUUGAGCAACUAGAUUACCUUCACAAAUCCUGUUCAUUUUGAAAGAGAUAAUCAACAGGGAUAUUCAUGGUUGCCUACUAUAUGCAAAGACUUUCCCAGACAUGCUUGAAAAUAAAAAAAGAUGUCUCAAAUUUGCUCCUUAUUAUGUUCCCUCUACAAAAAUAUCCACGUUAUAUAUUUUAAAUCUAAGGCUUGAUAAGGCUACAUGCAAGUGCUUAUGUCUCUAUUUCUGCAUAUGUAGAAAAACAUUUAUGCAUACUUGCUCAUAUAAAUAAUCAGAAAUGGCUACAUCACACAUAUAUACACAGAGAUCACUACAUUUACAUAUAAAGUGUUACAUAUUUAUGAAUAUAUUUGUGUGCAUGCAUACAUUUGAAUGAGCCUUGCUAUGUCUUUAUGUAGAAAGGUAAUCAGAGCUGUGCAUGCAUAAUGCAUGACAUGUAUGUAAUACACAAAUCAAAUAUACACAUAUGUAUACAGAGAUGCACGUGUUCAGAUGCAUGCAUAUAUACAGAGAUAUACAUAUAUGCAUAUGUAUAAAGAGCUAGAGUAAUAAAUGCACACAUUUCAAUAUAUAUUUAUAUGUUAAAUACACAGACAUGUGAACAUGCAUAUAUACAUGCUAUACUUAGACAAUAUGUGUGCAUAAAUCUACAUAGACAUAUACAUGAAUUACUUGAAAAUUCAGUACUGAUUCACUUGAUUUUUCUUCCUUGUAGUCUUGACAUCCUUCAUGCCACACCACUUUAUCAGUAAACCCUCCAGGAUGGAACUAUUUAUUGAAAUGCCAGUACUCACCCUCAUUUUUUAAACUACAUGCCCUGUUCAGUGCUGUCUGUUCUGGAAUGAAAGGCCAAUAUCCGAGUGUUCAGAAAGACCCGGGAGAUGGGACAAGGAGGAUGAAGCUGGGGCUGGAAGGCGACUCUGGGAACGGCUCAUAAAGAUGUCCCACAGAAUGGCUGAGGCUUUGUUUCCUGAAUAGGUGUCUCCAUUCGGCCUUGAUGGCUAACCAGCCAACUGAACAAGUGUAAAGGGCCCAAGAAAGGCCCGUAAAACCCGUGACAUUAAAGAACGAUUUAGGAAAAUAACAAGGUAAAAAUAUCAUUUUUAUUGCAUAAAUUACACGAGAAGUUGUGAAAUUAAAACCAUUUAUUUAUAAAAGUUAUUUCCUCAAAAAAAAAUAAUAUUAGGUAUAUCUCCUAAUGCUAUCCCUUCCCCCUCCCCACCCCACAACAGGCCCCGGUGUGUGAUGUUCCCCUUCCUGUGUCCAUGUGUUCUCACUGUUUAAUUCCCAUCUAUGAGUGAGAACAUGCGGUGUUAUACCUAAAGUUAAAUGACGAGUUAAUGGGUGUAGCACACCAACAUGGCACAUGUAUAUAUAUGUAACAAACCUGCACGUUGUGCACAUGUACCCUAAAACUUAAAGUAUAAUAAAAAUAAAUAAAUAAAUAAUA